rnacentral:rRNA from 1 species
AGAGUUUGAUCCUGGCUCAGGACGAACGCUGGCGGCGUGCCUAACACAUGCAAGUCGAACGGAGAAUUUCAAUAAGUUUACUUAGCGAAAUUUUUAGUGGCGGACGGGUGAGUAACGCGUGGGUAACCUACCCAUAAACCCGGGACAACCCUUGGAAACGAGGGCUAAUACCGGAUAAUUUUUUGGUUUGGCAUCAAACUUUAAGAAAAGGUGGCCUCUGAAUAUGCUACCGAUUAUGGAUGGACCCGCGUCUGAUUAGCUAGUUGGUGGGGUAAAGGCCUACCAAGGCGACGAUCAGUAGCCGGCCUGAGAGGGUGAACGGCCACACUGGGACUGAGACACGGCCCAGACUCCUACGGGAGGCAGCAGUGGGGAAUCUUCCGCAAUGGACGAAAGUCUGACGGAGCAACGCCGCGUGUAUGAUGAAGGUCUUCGGAUUGUAAAGUACUGUCUUUGGGGAAGAAUGAUCGGUUUGAAAAUAUUGAGCCGAUAUGACGGUACCCAAGGAGGAAGCCCCGGCUAACUACGUGCCAGCAGCCGCGGUAAUACGUAGGGGGCAAGCGUUGUCCGGAAUUAUUGGGCGUAAAGGGCGCGUAGGCGGAUAGUUAAGUCCGGUGUGAAAGAUCAGGGCUCAACCCUGAGAGUGCAUCGGAAACUGGUUAUCUUGAGGACAGGAGAGGAAAGUGGAAUUCCUAGUGUAGCGGUGAAAUGCGUAGAUAUUAGGAGGAACACCAGUGGCGAAGGCGACUUUCUGGACUGUUACUGACGCUGAGGCGCGAAAGCGUGGGGAGCAAACAGGAUUAGAUACCCUGGUAGUCCACGCUGUAAACGAUGAGUGCUAGGUGUAGAGGGUAUCGACCCCUUCUGUGCCGCAGUUAACACAAUAAGCACUCCGCCUGGGAG